rnacentral:lncRNA from 1 species
UGGAUUUCAGCUCUGAAUAAAUUUCAUCCGCAACCUGUAAUAGACAGUAGCUUGUUGAGGUAGUUAAUGACUCAAACGGGGAGAAAAUAAAUCAGUUCCCAAGCAUAUAUCUUUGAAAGGCAUGUUAUGUAUCAGAAAAAAUGGCAUGGCAGCAAUGUAAUAGAAGUAUUGACUUUUAUGCCUUUCAGCAUUUAAAUGACAGGAUAAUUAUUUUUCGUUGGCAUUCAGGAUACUCUUUGUGCUUCA